rnacentral:rRNA from 1 species
GUCCACGCCGUAAACGAUGGGUGCUAGGUGUCGCGGGCUUUGACCCCUGCGGUGCCGUAGCUAACGCAUUAAGCACCCCGCCUGGGGAGUACGGCCGCAAGGCUAAAAACUCAAAAGGAAUUGACGGGGGCCCGCACAAGCGGUGGAGCAUGUGGUUCAAUUCGACGCAACGCGCAGAACCUUACCUGGGCUAGAAAAAUGCAAGGACCUGGUUGAAAAAAUCGGGGUGCUCUUCGGAGAACUUGUAGUUAGGUGCUGCAUGGCUGUCGU